rnacentral:rRNA from 1 species
UUUAAGCGUGUAGGCUGGUUUUCCAGGCAAAUCCGGAAAAUCAAGGCUGAGGCGUGAUGACGAGGCACUACGGUGCUGAAGCAACAAAUGCCCUGCUUCCAGGAAAAGCCUCUAAGCAUCAGGUAACAUCAAAUCGUACCCCAAACCGACACAGGUGGUCAGGUAGAGAAUACCAAGGCGCUUGAGAGAACUCGGGUGAAGGAACUAGGCAAAAUGGUGCCGUAACUUCGGGAGAAGGCACGCUGAUAUGUAGGUGAAGUCCCUCGCGGAUGGAGCUGAAAUCAGUCGAAGAUACCAGCUGGCUGCAACUGUUUAUUAAAAACACAGCACUGUGCAAACACGAAAGUGGACGUAUACGGUGUGACGCCUGCCCGGUGC